rnacentral:rRNA from 1 species
GAGUUUGAUCGUGGCUCAGACUGAACGCUGGCGGCGUGCCUAACACAUGCAAGUCGAGCGGCAGCGCGGGAGCAAUCCUGGCGGCGAGCGGCGAACGGGUGAGUAAUGCUUCGGAAUCUGCCCAUGUAGUGGGGAAUAACUAGCCGAAAGGUUAGCUAAUACCGCAUACGACCUACGGGUGAAAGCAGGGGAUCGCAAGACCUUGCGCUAUUGGAUGAGCCGAAGUCGGAUUAGCUAGUUGGUAGGGUAACGGCCUACCAAGGCGACGAUCCGUAGCUGGUCUGAGAGGACGACCAGCCACACUGGGACUGAGACACGGCCCAGACUCCUACGGGAGGCAGCAGUGGGGAAUAUUGGACAAUGGGGGCAACCCUGAUCCAGCGACGCCGCGUGUGUGAAGAAGGCCUGCGGGUUGUAAAGCACUUUUAGUGGGGAUGAAAAGCCUUGUUCUAAUAAAGCAGGGUCUUGACCUAACCCAAAGAAAAGCACCGGCUAACUCUGUGCCAGCCGCCGCUGU